rnacentral:misc_RNA from 1 species
AAGUCGUAACAAGGUUUCCGUAGGUGAACCUGCGGAAGGAUCAUUAUUGAAUAAACUUGGUCAAGCUGUUGCUGGUCCCUCGGGGCAUGUGCACGCUUGCCACCAAUUUUAACCACCUGUGCACCUUUUGUAGAUUGGAAACGUUUCUCGAGGCAACUCGGAUUGAGGACUGCUGUGCGCAAGCCGGCUGUUCUUGUGUUUCUCAAUCUAUGUUUUCAUAUACCCCAAAUGUAUGUAUCAGAAUGUAUUGUUAGGCCUCUGUGCCUUUAAAUCAAAUACAACUUUCAACAACGGAUCUCUUGGCUCUC